AACGAACGCUGGCGGCAGGCUUAACACAUGCAAGUCGAACGCCCCGCAAGGGGAGUGGCAGACGGGUGAGUAACGCGUGGGAAUCUACCCAGUUCUACGGAAUAACCCAGGGAAACUUGGACUAAUACCGUAUACGCCCUACGGGGGCAAGAUUUAUCGUAAUUGGAUGAGCCCGCGUUGGAUUAGCUAGUUGGGGGGGUAAUGGCCUACCAAGGCGACGAUCCAUAGCUGGUCUGAGAGGAUGAUCAGCCACACUGGGACUGAGACACGGACCAGACUCCUACGGGAGGCAGCAGUGGGGAAUAUUGGACAAUGGGCGCAAGCCUGAUCCAGCCAUGCCGCGUGAGAGAUGAAGGCCUUAGGGUUGUAAAGCUCUUUCAGUGGGGACGAUAAUGACGGUACCCACAGAAGAAGCCCCGGCUAACUUCGUGCCAGCAGCCGCAGUAAGAC
rnacentral:rRNA from 1 species